rnacentral:rRNA from 1 species
UACGGGGGGGGCAAGCGUUGUACGGAAUUACUGGGCGUAAAGGGCUCGUAGGCGGCCAACUAAGUCGGACGUGAAAUCCCCAGGCUCAACCUGGGAACUGCGUCCGAUACUGGAUGGCUUGAAUCCGGGAGAGGGAUGCAGAAUUCCAGGUGUAGCGGUGAAAUGCGUAGAUAUCGGAAGGAACAUCAGUGGCGAAAGCGGCUUCCUGGACCAGUACCGACGUUCAGGCACGAAAGCGUGGGGAGCAAACAGG